AGAGUUUGAUCCUGGCUCAGAAUCAACGCUGGCGGCGUGCCUAACACAUGCAAGUCGAACGAGAGAGUGGGACUGUAGCAAUACAGUUGCACCAGUAAAGUGGCGAACGGGUGAGUAACACGUAGCUAACCUACCCUCGAGCGGGGAAUAACCCGGGGAAACCUGAGCUAAUACCGCAUAAUAUUCCGGUGGCCUAAGUCGCCGGGAUCAAAGGCCCGCAAGGGUCACUUGAGGAGGGGGCUGCGGCCGAUUAGCUAGUUGGUGGGGUAAUGGCCUACCAAGGCGAUGAUCGGUAGCCGGCCUGAGAGGGCGCACGGCCACACUGGCACUGAAAUACGGGCCAGACUCCUACGGGAGGCAGCAGUGGGGAAUUUUGCACAAUGCCCGAAAGGGUGAUGCAGCAACGCCGCGUGAGGGAUGAAGGCCCUCGGGUCGUAAACCUCUUUCGAUCGGGAAAAACGGGCGGGUGAAGAGCCCGCUCUGAUGGUACCGGAUGAAGAAGCCCCGGCCAACUACGUGCCAGCAGCCGCGGUAAUACGUAGGGGGCAAGCGUUGUUCGGAAUUACUGGGCGUAAAGGGCGUGUAGGCGGUGCGGUAAGUUGGACGUGAAAUCCCCGGGCUUAACUCGGGGCGGUCGUUCAAAACUGCUGUGCUAGAGUGUGGGAGAGGGAAGUGGAAUUCCCGGUGUAGCGGUGAAAUGCGUAGAUAUCGGGAAGAACACCUGUGGCGAAGGCGGCUUCCUGGCCCACAACUGACGCUGAGGCGCGAAAGCUAGGGGAGCAAACAGGAUUAGAUACCCUGGUAGUC
rnacentral:rRNA from 1 species